GAGAAAUCAGGGGUCAUUCAGAGGAUCCAGUCCAGGGCGUCUGGUGCUACAUGGAACCACUGCGCUCGCAACCAAAGACUUGUACUGCCGUUCUCCACGGGUUCUGGUGUAGCGUUACUGAGCGAAAUCUCAAAGUUGGCUGUUUUAUGCUGGAUGCCCUUCCCGACCAAACCCUCCCACUUUCUCUGGGCUGCUGCUGAACCACCAGGGGCACUGGUUAAGUCUAGGUUAAAAAUGAACAUGACACUUACGAAGAGCUGCAGGAACUUGAGGAUCCUCUUGUGUGUGAGGAUAUAAAGUGCGUUCCCACUGACGGGGUCGAUAACGGGCAAGCGGUGUAUCUUGUUCUUGAUUAGCGAAUAUACAG